rnacentral:rRNA from 1 species
UGGGGGGAUAUUGCGCAAUGGGGGGCAACCCUGACGCAGCAACGCCGCGUGAAGGAAGACGGUUUUCGGAUUGUAAACUUCUUUUAUUAAGGACGAACAAUGACGGUACUUAAUGAAUAAGCUCCGGCUAACUACGUGCCAGCAGCCGCGGUAAUACGUAGGGAGCAAGCGUUAUCCGGAUUUACUGGGUGUAAAGGGCGUGUAGGCGGAGAAGCAAGUCAGAAGUGAAAUCCAUGGGCUUAACCCAUGAACUGCUUUUGAAACUGUUUCCCUUGAGUAUCGGAGAGGCAGGCGGAAUUCCUAGUGUAGCGGUGAAAUGCGUAGAUAUUAGGAGGAACACCAGUGGCGAAGGCGGCCUGCUGGACGACAACUGACGCUGAGGCGCGAAAGCGUGGGGAGC